UAGUUAAAAGUAUAUAUAUAAAAAAAAAACAAAAUAACUUUUAUUAUACUAAUGAUGCAAAAUUAUACUUAGAUAUUUAACGUCUUAUAAAAAAAAAUUACUUUUCAUACAUAGUGACGAAAAAUUAUUUUUUGCACAUACUUCAUAUUUAUUAUCCUUAUGCAAUUCAUUGUUAUUGUCAAUAGUCAAAUAAAACUACGCAGAAUUAUAACACAAAUUGAGAACCUUCUUUAAGGGUAAUAUCCUUCUGGCAUAUUUAUAAAAGCCAAUAGAAAAUUGUAGAAUAAUUAUUUAUUAUAUUCCAGAAAAUCUAUUCUAUCGUCGAAGUUUGAUUGUUUAAUUUAAUAUUCGUAUAGCAGAUUGACAGCCUUGAUUAUGGCCGCUAUGUAUUGGAAAAGGCUUCAAAUGAGAACACACUGGAUACCUGUAGGCAUAGUGUCUGUAUGUUAAUUUCAUAUCUAUACAACCAUUUUUAAUAAUACUACAAAAGGGCAGACCAAAAAAGUGCAUGAAGAAUGUCCUUGGUUAUGUUUAGACGAUAUGUAUCUUAAUGGUUAAUUGAAAAUUACAACUUAUACGUGUUUACGUUUUUAAUAUGCAUAUUUAUGAAGAGAGAAAAAAAAUUACAAGAACAAAAAAGUUCUAUGUAUUAUUAACCUUGACAACUCAUUGCACAGUGCUACAAAAUCCAAUACCAAGUUUAUUCAAUUAAUUCCUACUCUAACCACUUUUGAAAAUGAAUUAUUCAAAUCGUAAAACAGAUUUCUUUAAAUUUCUUCAAUAGUCGUAGUGUUAAAAUCAUAUAUGUAUAUACAAUUAUUACCUCGUAUAUAAUCAAUUAUACUUAAUGAAAUUAAAAUAAGAAACUACAAAUUUAAAAAUCUAUAUCUAAUGAAUUUACUUCUUAAAAUUCUUAGGACACUAAAUUAUUUGUUCACUUACAGGCAUGUCUCUUAGCUAUUAAUAUCAAUUCUUUUUUAUUCUCAAAUUUUCCCUAUUGUUUUUUCAAUCAAAGUACUCUCUUUCAAAAUGGUAUUACCUGGUAAGGAUGUUAAAUUUUAUCGGAUCCUAGCCGUAUCGGAAUCAAUGAUAACAUUCACUGAUUCUUUAAUUAAAAACACCAUCUUUGAUUUUUAAUACUUUAUUUCUUGUGCAUUAUUCAGACGACUUACAUUACUUUAAAUCUACCCUUGUGAGUACACGGCUCACCUAG